GCUUAGUACGGCGAGUGAGCGGCAAAAGCUCAAAUUUGAAAUCUGGCACCUUCGGUGUCCGAGUUGUAAUUUGAAGAAGGUAACUUUGGAGUUGGCUCUUGUCUAUGUUCCUUGGAACAGGACGUCACAGAGGGUGAGAAUCCCGUGCGAUGAGAUGCCCAAUUCUAUGUAAAGUGCUUUCGAAGAGUCGAGUUGUUUGGGAAUGCAGCUCUAAGUGGGUGGUAAAUUCCAUCUAAAGCUAAAUAUUGGCGAGAGACCGAUAGCGAACAAGUACAGUGAUGGAAAGAUGAAAAGAACUUUGAAAAGAGAGUGAAAAAGUACGUGAAAUUGUUGAAAGGGAAGGGCUUGAGAUCAGACUUGGUAUUUUGCGAUCCUUUCCUUCUUGGUUGGGUUCCUCGCAGCUUACUGGGCCAGCAUCGGUUUGGAUGGUAGGAUAAUGACUAAGGAAUGUGGCUCUACUUCGGUGGAGUGUUAUAGCCUUGGUUGAUACUGCCUGUCUAGACCGAGGACUGCGUCUUUUGACUAGGAUGUUGGCAUAAUGAUCUUAAGCCACCCGUCUUGA
rnacentral:rRNA from 1 species